rnacentral:rRNA from 1 species
CUGGCAGUAAACGGUGCACGUUUGGUGUGGGCGCAAUCGACCGCGUCCGCGCCGGAGCUAACGCGUUAAACGUGCCGCCUGGGAAGUACGGUCGCAAGAUUAAAACUCAAAGAAAGUGACGGGGACCCGCACAAGCGGUGGAGUAUGUGGCUUAAUUCGAUGCAACGCGAAGAACCUUACCUGGUCUUGACAUGCAUUGUGUCUACGGUGAAAGCCGUAUAGGGUAGCAAUACCCGCUUUGCACAGGUGC